rnacentral:rRNA from 1 species
GAUGAACGCUGGCGGCGUGCCUAAUACAUGCAAGUCGAGCGAACAGACGAGGCGCUUGCUCCUCUGACGUUAGCGGCUGACGUGUGAGUAACACGUUUAUAACCUACCUAUUAGACUUGUAUAACUUCGUGAAACCGUAGCUACUACCUGAUAACAUUUUUAACCGCAUUUUUCUACAUUGAAAGACGUUCUUUCUGUCACUUAUAUAUGUUUCCGCGCCGCAUUAGCUUGUUGGUAAGGUAACUGCUUACCAAGGCAACGAUUCGUAGCCGACCUGAGAGGGGGAUCGGAAAAACUGGAACGGAGACACGGUACAGAGUACUACGGGAGGAAGCAGUAGGGAAUAUGACGAAAUGGGCGAAAGAAUGACGGAGCAAGGCCGCGUGAGUGAAGAAGGACUUAGGAUCGUAAAAAUAUGUUAUUAGGGAAGAAAAAAUGUGUAAGAAAAUAUGCACGGAUUGAAGGUAACUAAUAAGAAAGCAACGGCUAACUACGUG